rnacentral:lncRNA from 1 species
GUAAGAAACCUAAGCUUUAUGAUUAUUGCAAAAUAAUUCACAUUACAUUAGUUUUAGUAUUUGCAACAUAAUUUUAGAAUGCUUCAGUAAUAAUAUAAAGUGAACUGGUAGGAGGUUCCACCUGAUUACAGAUCAAUCAAAAACAUCAGAAUGUCAAGCCACUAGUUGUCGUGGUGGUGGCAGUGGCAUUUCUUAACAUCUUUGUGCCUUGAUUAUAUAUGAUUUUUGAAUUUUGAUAUUGCUUUGGUCCAUAUCUAAUAUGAAGUUACAUCUGUGUUACUGAUAAUUUAUUCAGAAUUGUUCCUAGCUUGUCUUACUCUCUUGUUUUAUACUUUGGACUAUCAGAUCCACCACCACAACACUUGAAACGUUUUACCUGGAAGGCCUAACAACUAUGUGGUAGAUUUGCAUUAACCCACUUGUCUCCCUGUAUGUUGUAGAAAAAGGCAAAAGAGUUAUUGUUUCUUUCCUUCUCGCCACUCUGAGUAGCACUCUUAUGUGUUGUCACUGAUCAGUCAAAACCUGAAAAAGUUGCUGGGGAAUUCAAUAAAAAAAAGUUUUAUCAGACUAGCUAACUGAGGAGGCAAUGAGAAGGAAACAAUGUUGAAUACUAAAUUUAAAUAAAUAAACCUGUCCCCUCUAUCAGCAUUGGCUUUUGUAACUUGAGCUAUAACUUACGACCUUGCUCUUGAAAACGAUUUGAAAUGUCCAUAUGGGCUAUGUUUCACUGGAGAGAAGAGAAGUCCUUACACCAUUUAUCCAUUCUUUUUAUUUUUCAGUUUCUUGACUUGAUCCCUACUCAGCAUUCCCCAG